UUCCAUCUAUUAUUGUUUUUCAUAAGACAAUGACAAAAUAUAUUGGAUAAUGAUCUAAUUGUUAAACACAAAUAUACGUUAUUAUACAUUUUUUGUGGAAACACAGCUGCUGGUUAAAAAGAUGUGUGUAGUGUCAAUCCCUUAUUGGUGUAAAAUGUACUGUGUAUGUUCUCCAUUUCUCCUAUAUCGUUCCAGAACAGAAGAAGAAAUGCUGUCCCUUGUUUACACUCACAAAGUCAGACUUGAUUGUCUCCAAUGGAAACAUUUAUUUUUAUUUUUUGUAGGAUCCUGCCAGAGUGUUUCCAGGUAAAACCUGGGAAAAUGGGUAAUGUCUAUGAUACUGCUCAUGGGCUGAAGGUAUGGAGAGUGAACACCAAAUCUAACAUUACCUAUGUAAACGGCUCUGUCCCAGGCCACAGAAAUUGCUUGGUGAAGGUCAGGAAUACAGUUCGCGCCUGGGGAAAAAUCUGAAUCGUCCCUUCCCAACCUUUUUUGCUGAUGAGGAUGAAGAGCUGCCAGAAUAUCUGUAUGAUGCUGAAAUGUUUCCGUUCACUGAACCCUCUGUCACUUACGCUUAACAAAAAAAAUGUCUCUGAAUUUCUUGCUCUGGUAUCUCCCUGGAAACCCGCACCUUUAUAUUGACGGUAGCUUUCUGGAAUGGUCAGCAGUUCUUUUUUGUUAAGUAGCUCAGAUUAUAUUUAGCGCUUGAAUGGGCCCAUCUUAUCAGAACAAUUCUCCAAUAAAGACAUAGGGGGCCUAUAGUGAAUCAGAAAAACUUAAGACAAGAUCACUACAGGUCUUUCUGAUUCACUAUAGGCAAGUGAACCCUACUUCACACCUUUAUUGGAGAACAUGCUGAUAAGAAUGUGCCCUAAUUAUACUGUAAAAGCUAUUGUGACUAUUUCCUAGUAAAAUUUUACAUUUGUCAGUCGUGUUUAGGUAAAGGUAUAAAGAAUCCUUGCCUUUUCAACUUUAAUAGCAUACCCAUCUACUUGCAGUCAAUGUACAGUACAAGAUUAAAGAUUAAAACAGUGAUCACAUGCAUUAUGACAAUAUAACCUUCUCUCAAUCCCAACUGGGAAAAAGUUUCUAUAAAAGAAAAAUAUUUAAAAAAUGGUUGGUCUAGGGUCUAUCGUCCUUCUUUGUCAUUAGAUCUUAAGACUGUUUCCUUCCACAUUGUGAAACCAUCACUUUUAGUAUGCAUUUAUUUUGUUUUUAAAUUUCAAC